UAAUUGAUUUGUUGGUGAUUUUUUUUCCAUUUUACUGACUUUCCGGGUGGGUGGGCCAAUGUUCAUGUCUGUGCUUUUCUUUUGCUUUGUUAUUUCUAUGUGUGUUUUUUGAUGAUCCAUUAUUUUUCUUUAUCUAUCUAUGUAGCAAGAAUCAACAGUGUCACUGUUUAGAAAAGCAGCAGAGGGUAAAGGCAGAGGGUGCAAAGAGCAUAAAAGUGAUGUGUCGUUGCCACCGGGAUUAAGAAAAGAUGACGAAUCACCUUGGGAUUCAGAGGUACUCUCUAUUUUUUAUAAUAUUUUUUAAUAAGCAUUAAAUAAUAAAUAAGAUUUAAAUGUAGAGGAGAAUAAUUGGACUUUACUAGCUCACCUCUGCAUAUGCCUGUAAGAAAUCAUUUCCUCGUGUUUUUUCAACCAUAGGCAAUAAAAUAAUCUCUCAGACAAACUGAUGUAUGUCUAAAAUCCCAGCACUCUGGGAGGCUGAAGCAGGAGGAUUACAUUGUCGAAUCCUAGACAACGUAGCAAUUUACUCUUGCAAAAAGUAAAGAGCAUUAGGGUUGUAUCUCUGUAUGAAGACCCUGGGUUUAAUCCUCAUCCUAUAGAUGAAGGAAUGGAUGAAGUCUAUGUAUGUUACUGCUACAUAGUACGUUUCUGCUAAUGUGUAGGAUUCAUUUAAUGAAGCCAGGGCAGUUAAAAAUUAAGUCUUAGAUUUCACAAACAGUCAGCUUGCAUUCUGAAAUUAAGUUGAUCUAAAAGCUAAAGAAUUACUCUUGGUCAGCCUCUGGCCAAUGAAAUUCAGAGACAAUGUUUA
rnacentral:lncRNA from 1 species